rnacentral:ncRNA from 1 species
GUUGGCAUGGCAGUACUUCAUGCAUCAAAUGAUAGAAGAGAAGGGUCAAUUUAUUUUCCAUUCACAGUAUUAUUAUUAAUAUAUUUUUUGUCCGAGAAAAAAAUCAUAUCUAAUUCACUAGUUGGUGAGGCAAUAACUUACUAAGCGAUGAUCAAUAGCUGGUCUGAGAGAAUGAUCAACUACAUUAGGAUUAAGAUACGGCCCAAACUCCUAUGAGAGGCAAUAGGGAGGAAUUUUUUGCAAUAGGCAAAAGUCUGACAGAGCAAUGCUGAGUGGAGGUAGAAGACCCACGGAUGAUGAACCUCUUUUUUCAAAGAAGAAGGAGCAACAAUGAUAUAUGUGGAAUAAUUAAGCAUCGGUUAAUUCUGUGCCAACAAUUAUAAUAAUGCAAAGAAUGCA